AUGAAUACCACUCAGAAAGUUGAUCCAGGGGAACCAGCUGCUAAGAUUGCUCAACAAGCCUCUCAGUUCAAACGAUGGGGACGCAGACAUCCAUUUGUUCGAUAUGGUCUUCCACUCAUUUCGUUGACAGUGUUUGGUGCGGUUGGUCUAGCUCAUCUUAUACAGGGAAGCAAAGAAGUAACAAAGGAAAAGGAGGAUAUGGAAUGGGAGGUCGUAGAGAAAACAAAAGCUCUGAGCCGAACAGGACCGGUUGAAGGGGCCUAUAAGCCUAAGAAGCUCUCACUAGAGGAUGAACUCAAGGCUUUGCAGCAAAAGGUGGACAUAAACAGCUACGACUACAAGAGAAUUCCCAAACAAAAUGAAAACAAGUGA
rnacentral:rRNA from 1 species